rnacentral:rRNA from 1 species
CACGUAGUUAGCCGUGGCUUUCUGAUUAGGUACCGUCAAGAUGUGCACAGUUACUUACACAUUUGUUCUUCCCUAAUAACAGAGUUUUAAGAGCCGAAACCCUUCAUCACUCACGCGGCGUUGCUCCGUCAGGCUUUCGCCCAUUGCGGAAGAUUCCCUACUGCUGCCUCCCGUAGGAGUCUGGACCGUGUCUCAGUUCCAGUGUGGCCGAUCACCCUCUCAGGUCGGCUACGUAUCGUCGCCUUGGUAAGCCGUUACCUUACCAACUAGCUAAUACGGCGCGGGUCCAUCUAUAAGUGAUAGCAAAACCAUCUUUCACUUUAGAACCAUGCGGUUCUAAAUGUUAUCCGGUAUUAGCUCCGGUUUCCCGAAGUUAUCCCAGUCUUAUAGGUAGGUUACCCACGUGUUACUCACCCGUCCGCCGCUAACUUCAAAGGAGCAAGCUCCUUAUCUGUUCGCUCGACUUGCAUGUAUUAGGCACGCCGCCAGCGUUCAUCCUGAGCCAGGAUCAAACUCU